GACGAACGCUGGCGGCGUGCUUAACACAUGCAAGUCGAACGGUAGGGCCCUUCGGGGUACACGAGUGGCGAACGGGUGAGUAACACGUGGGUGAUCUGCCCUGCACUUCGGGAUAAGCCUGGGAAACUGGGUCUAAUACCGGAUAGGACCAUUGCCUGCAUGGGUGGUGGUGGAAAGCUUUUGCGGUGUGGGAUGGGCCCGCGGCCUAUCAGCUUGUUGGUGGGGUGAUGGCCUACCAAGGCGACGACGGGUAGCCGGCCUGAGAGGGUGACCGGCCACACUGGGACUGAGAUACUGCCCAGACUCCUACGGGAGGCAGCAGUGGGGAAUAUUGCACAAUGUGCGCAAGCCUGAUGCAGCGACGCCGCGUGAGGGAUGACGGCCUUCGGGUUGUAAACCUCUUUCAGCACCGACGAAGCGCAAGUGACGGUAGGUGCAGAAGAAGGACCGGCCAACUACGUGCCAGCAGCCGCGGUAA
rnacentral:rRNA from 1 species